GCUGGGUACAGUGGAGCACACCAGUAAUCCCAGUUACUUGGGAGGCUGAGGCAGGAGGAUUAUAAGUUUGAGACUAGCCCUUAGCGAGACCCUCAGCAACUUAGUAGACCCUGUCUCAA
rnacentral:sRNA from 1 species